rnacentral:rRNA from 1 species
UACGUAGGGGGCUAGCGUUGUCCGGAAUCAUUGGGCGUAAAGCGCGUGUAGGCGGUUCGGUAAGUCUGCUGUGAAAGUCGGGGGCUCAACCCUCGAAUGCCGGCCGAUACUGCCGGGCUAGAGUCCGGAAGAGGUGAGUGGAAUUCCUGGUGUAGCGGUGAAAUGCGCAGAUAUCAGGAGGAACACCAAUGGCGAAGGCAGCUCACUGGGACGGUACUGACGCUGAGACGCGAAAGCGUGGGGAGCAAACAGG